GGGCCCGCACAAGCGGUGGAGCAUGUGGUUUAAUUCGAUGAUACGCGAGGAACCUUACCAAGGCUUAAAUGUAGAGGGACAGGCGGCGAAAGUUGCCCUUCUUCGGACUCUCUACAAGGUGCUGCAUGGUUGUCGUCAGCUCGUGCCGUGAGGUGUCGGGUUAAGUCCCAUAACGAGCGCAACCCCUAUCUUUAGUUGCCAGCGGUUCGGCCGGGGACUCUAAAGAAACUGCCCGCGCAAGCGGUGAGGAAGGUGGGGAUGACGUCAAAUCAUCACGGCCCUUACGUCUUGGGCUACACACGUGCUACAAUGGUAGUGACAAUGGGCAGCCACUCCGCGAGUAGGAGCGAAUCUUCAAAACCGGUCUCAGUUCGGAUCGGAGUCUGCAACUCGACUCCGUG
rnacentral:rRNA from 1 species